GACAAGAAGGGAACCUUCCUGGAUAUGGCAUCUGUUGAACAUUGACCAGAAGGGUUUAUUCAGAUGAUCUGAUUGGCUAGGUGGGCACCCUUUGCCUUUGUCACCACUCCUUGUGCAUUGCCUCCAAAGUUGUGCUCUCAAUUGAAGAGGAAUACCUUCCCAGAAUAGAGGAUGACCAGUCAAAAGUAUAGUAGUAGAUGUAUCCCUCUGUUAGACCAACUCUCAAGGUCCAUGUUAUUUUAUCUUAAUGUUGAUGAAUGCAAGAUGGUGACAAUAGUCACUUAUCCAGUCCAU
rnacentral:snRNA from 1 species